CCUCGGGAGGCAGCAGUAGGGAAUCUUCCACAAUGGGCGAAAGCCUGAUGGAGCAACGCCGCGUGGGUGAAGAAGGUCUUCGGAUCGUAAAACCCUGUUGUUAGAGAAGAAAGAGCGUGAGAGUAACUGUUCACGUUCGACGGUAUCUAACCAGAAAGCCACGGCUAAAUACGUGCCAGCAGCCGCGGUAAUACGUAGGUGGCAAGCGUUUUCCGGAUAUUUUGGGGGUAAAGGGCACGCAGGCGGUCUUGUGAGUCUGAUGUGAAAGCCUUCGGCUUAACCGGAGUAGUGCAUUGGAAACUAGGAAACUUGAGUUCGGAAGAGGAGAGUGGAACUCCAUGUGUAGCGGUGAAAUGCGUAGAUAUAUGGAAGAACACCAGUGGCGAAGGCAGCUCUCUGGUCUGAAACUGACGCUGAGGUUCGAAAGCGUGGGUAGCAAACAGGAUUAGAUACCCGGGUAGUC
rnacentral:rRNA from 1 species